UCCUACGGGGCGCAGCAGUGAGGAAUAUUGGUCAAUGGGCGGGAGCCUGAACCAGCCAAGCCGCGUGAGGGAAGAAGGUACAGCGUAUCGUAAACCUCUUUUGUCAGGGAACAAAGGCGGGGACUAGUCCCCGGAUGAGGGUACCUGAAGAAAAAGCAUCGGCUAACUCCGUGCCAGCAGCCGCGGUAAUACGGAGGAUGCGAGCGUUAUCCGGAUUUAUUGGGUUUAAAGGGUGCGUAGGCGGGAUGCCAAGUCAGCGGUAAAAAUGCGGUGCUCAACGCCGUCUAGCCGUUGAA
rnacentral:rRNA from 1 species